CUCGUCCAAUCACAAGCCGAGUCUGCUGGACGCCUUCUGUUUGAAAAUCUUCGCGCUGAUAUCCGCUACUUAAAGGCACUAUGCUGUAGAAAGUGAUAUAUAUUGUAUUAAAUAACAAAUUCCGUGCCUUCUAUGUGGAUAAAUAUUGUUCCGAGAGCGCUGAAGUGAGCAGGCAUAAGAGCCAACGCCAUUAUGUCGGAAGGAGAAGUGUGCAGCCACGUAAAAGUGGUUGUCCGUGUCCGCCCUUUAAACUCCAGGGAAAAGGAUGGAAAUUUAAGGAAUAUAGUCCGUGUCGUGGAUAACCAUAUGCUCGUUUUUGACCCCAAAGAGCAGGAGGUAAAAUUUUUCCGUGGCCAGAAAGCAGGAACUAGAGACUUGAGGAAAAGAGCGAAUAAAGACCUGAAGUUUGUGUUCGAUCGUGUCUUCGGGGACGAUUCCACACAGAUGGAACUGUUCGAAAACACUACGAAGGGAGUAGUCGAUGGAGUCCUGAACGGCUACAACUGCACAGUGUUUGCCUACGGAGCUACAGGAGCAGGGAAGACCCACACAAUGCUGGGCAGCUGUGAAAACCCGGGUGUAAUGUACCUCACCAUGAAAGAGCUGUUCAGAAGAAUGGACAUCGCCAAGGAGGAGAAAGUCUUUGAAUUGGCUUUCUCCUAUCUGGAGGUUUAUAACGAACAGAUUCGGGACCUCCUGGCGAACUCGGCUCCUCUAGCCUUGAGAGAAGACGCUGCAAAAGGAGUGGUGAUCCAAGGCCUGACUCUUCAUCAGCCCAAAUCCGCUGAGCACAUCCUUGAAGCUCUGGAUUACGGUAACAGAAAUAGAACGCAGCACCCCACUGACGUGAACGCCUCAUCUUCCCGGUCCCAUGCCGUAUUUCAGAUCUACCUGAGGCAGCAGGAUAAGUCAGCCUGUCUGAAUCCAAAUGUGUGUGUGGCCAAGAUGAGUCUGAUUGACCUAGCCGGUUCAGAGAGGGCCAGCGCCACCAACGCUAAAGGAGCUCGCCUCCGGGAAGGAGCCAACAUCAACCGCUCUCUUCUCGCCCUGGCCAAUGUCAUCAACGCACUCGCUGACCCGAAGAGUAAGAAGAAUCACAUUCCUUACAGAGACAGCAAGUUGACGCGAUUGCUAAAGGACUCACUGGGUGGGAACUGUAGAACUGUGAUGAUCGCAAACAUUAGCCCGUCAUCACUUUCGUACGAGGACACGCACAAUACGCUCAAGUAUGCUAACCGGGCCAAGGAGAUCAAGUCUACACUGAAAAGUAAUGUUGUGAGUGUGGACAGUCAUGUUGGGCAGUAUGCAGUCAUAUGUGAGAAACAGAAGGCUGAGAUUAUGCAGCUGAAACAGAAGCUGCGAGAAUACGAGGAGCGGAAGGCAGAGGCUCCUGCCCUUAAUCCAAUCUCCAGCCAGAAAAGAGCUGAAUUCGAGAAAAUGUCCGAGUCUCUGCGCAGCUUGUUCGCCGCACGCCUGCAGCUGCGUAAGGAGCACUUGGACAUCGAGAAGCAGCUAAAGGAGAACCAGCUAAGGCACAGUCACAGGGAGGAGUGGCACAAGCAGGGCCUGUUAUUCUUCCCAGACGACAAAGCAGAGAAGGCCACCUGUAAGUACGAGCGUAAGCUGGCGUCUCUGCAAUCUCAUCGGCAGCACCUAAAAAGGAAGCUGGAGGACAACGGGAAGAACUUCCAGGAGAACGAAGGUUGGCUCCAUCGCCUCGAAAACGAGAUGAAGCUGCUUGGGCACGAAGGAAACACACCAGAGGAGCUUAAAAAGGAACUGCAGUGCCAGAGGCUGAAGCUGCAGGUGGCUGACCUGCAGCAGCACAUCAAGCACAUGCACCAUCUCAUCAGUUUGCAGGACCAGGAAAACAAACAUACACACAAACUGGUUCAUGCCCUACUUCCUGCCUACCGUCGCCAGCGCCUAGCCUUGAUGGCUGCGGGCAUGUCCACGGACGACACAGAGCAGGAGGAGCUGGAGCACCUGGUGCAGAGAGAGAGGGGCGUGGUAUGGGCCGACCAGGAGAACUCGGAAGAGAAGGCUGAACAAGACGAAUGCACUGAGAACAACACUCUCCAGCCCAUCUUGUCUUUCUCUCACCUCAUCACUCACCAGAAUACACCAUGCAGUGCAGAGAAACACACACGCCGUGUCUCCCAGCGACUCAAACCGUCUAAAGGCGCUGUUGCUGGAGAGGAGCGUGUAUCCGAAACCCUGCCUAAAAUGCCUAUCAGACGGAAGCUGGCUGUUUCUCCUGUGAAGCCUGGCUCAGGAUGUGAAGGGGCAGGUCUAUCUAACUGUCCUCCAGGCCUGCAGGAGGUGCUGCAUCAGGAGGGCUUUUACCCACUGCCCUACACGCCCGAGACGCAGUCCUCCAACGCUCCAGUCUCCAUCCACCCUGAUUCCACCUUUGACGUGGGUGUAGAUGAACAGGGGGAGGAAACGACUCAGGGUAACAGCACAAUUAUCCUGUCUCCCAAAUCACCUGAGCCUUCUUUAGGUUCAGGCCUGAGUCAACUCCGUAUCCUGCGCGCCAAUAACAGCAACGAGCCCCAGAGAAGUUGGUUUGUAGGUUGGAGAUUCCGUCUCUUCUUGACCUACGGAGAUCCAAACCAUCCUACAUGGCCAUGACAUCAGCAGCACAAGGCAAACGCAAGCUCAACUGCAUCGGAAAGGAGAUAGGCUCAGACGUUACCCAGGGUGCUGCAGCGCCCAAACGGAUAAAGAGGGAUCCCUCCGAUACCACAAAACCACUGCGUGUGCGACGCUUUGGCACAUCAUCUGAGAAUGAGCCGAGCAGGAGAGUGGUGCGCAGCGUAUCAGAGGGAAACCUUCAUCAGCUCGGCUCUCGUAAGCCCAGAUCAGCAUUUCUGGGCCCAACUGCCCUGUUCAAGAAAGUCACAAAGAGGAUGUGAAAUGUCUCCAGAAUUACCACUUGAACACACGACUUCUAAAAGCCUCAUGCACUGAUUUCUCUCUCUCUCACACACACACACACACUCGUCUGUCUUGUGGAUAUUGCGAAUCGGUUCGAAGAAGCGAGACGUCUUACAGGUUUAAACCUGACUGUUGAUGUAGUGAAUGUUUUGUUUUUUUCUUUGUUUUUUUUUUUUUUUUAAAUGUACAGCUUUUUAACAAUAUUAAAAUAACUUGUACAAAGAAUGUUUUAACCUAGUGUCAAGUGAAAAUUAAACCUGUGAUGAUGUUUGUUCUUAGUUCCUGAUGCUUACUUGUUUUCUUUCUAGAGAAACUUUUAAACAAUUGAAACUUCCUGUAAGUCAAGACGACGUAAUAAAAAGCUCUGGACUCUC